AGGGUGACAGCCCCGUACACAAAAAUGCACAUGCUGUGAGCUCGAUGAGUAGGGCGGGACACGUGGUAUCCUGUCUGAAUAUGGGGGGACCAUCCUCCAAGGCUAAAUACUCCUGACUGACCGAUAGUGAACCAGUACCGUGAGGGAAAGGCGAAAAGAACCCCGGCGAGGGGAGUGAAAAAGAACCUGAAACCGUGUACGUACAAGCAGUGGGAGCCCUGAUUUAUCAGGGUGACUGCGUACCUUUUGUAUAAUGGGUCAGCGACUUAUAUUCUGUAGCAAGGUUAACCGAAUAGGGGAGCCGGAGGGAAACCGAGUCUUAACUGGGCGUUAAGUUGCAGGGUAUAGACCCGAAACCCGGUGAUCUAGCCAUGGGCAGGUUGAAGGUUGGGUAACACUAACUGGAGGACCGAACCGACUAAUGUUGAAAAAUUAGCGGAUGACUUGUGGCUGGGGGUGAAAGGCCAAUCAAACCGGGAGAUAGCUGGUUCUCCCCGAAAGCUAUUUAGGUAGCGCCUCGUGAAUUCAUCUCCGGGGGUAGAGCACUGUUUCGGCAAGGGGGUCAUCCCGACUUACCAACCCGAUGCAAACUGCGAAUACCGGAGAAUGUUAUCACGGGAGACACACGGCGGGUGCUAACGUCCGUCGUGAAGAGGGAAACAACCCAGACCGCCAGCUAAGGUCCCAAAGUCAUGGUUAAGUGGGAAACGAUGUGGGAAGGCCCAGACAGCCAGGAUGUUGGCUUAGAAGCAGCCAUCAUUUAAAGAAAGCGUAAUAGCUCACUGGUCGAGUCGGCCUGCGCGGAAGAUGUAACGGGGCUAAACCAUGCACCGAAGCUGCGGCAGCGACACUGUGUGUUGUUGGGUAGGGGAGCGUUCUGUAAGCCUGUGAAGGUGUGCUGUGAGGCAUGCUGGAGGUAUCAGAAGUGCGAAUGCUGACAUAAGUAACGAUAAAGCGGGUGAAAAGCCCGCUCGCCGGAAGACCAAGGGUUCCUGUCCAACGUUAAUCGGGGCAGGGUGAGUCGACCCCUAAGGCGAGGCCGAAAGGCGUAGUCGAUGGGAAACAGGUUAAUAUUCCUGUACUUGGUGUUACUGCGAAGGGGGGACGGAGAAGGCUAUGUUGGCCGGGCGACGGUUGUCCCGGUUUAAGCGUGUAGGCUGGUUUUCCAGGCAAAUCCGGAGAAUCAAGGCUGAGGCGUGAUGACGAGGCACUACGGUGCUGAAGCAACAAAUGCCCUGCUUCCAGGAAAAGCCUCUAAGCAUCAGGUAACAUCAAAUCGUACCCCAAACCGACACAGGUGGUCAGGUAGAGAAUACCAAGGCGCUUGAGAGAACUCGGGUGAAGGAACUAGGCAAAAUGGUGCCGUAACUUCGGGAGAAGGCACGCUGAUAUGUAGGUGAAGCGACUUGCUCGUGGAGCUGAAAUCAGUCGAAGAUACCAGCUGGCUGCAACUGUUUAUUAAAAACACAGCACUGUGCAAACACGAAAGUGGACGUAUACGGUGUGACGCCUGCCCGGUGCCGGAAGGUUAAUUGAUGGGGUCAGCGCAAGCGAAGCUCUUGAUCGAAGCCCCGGUAAACGGCGGCCGUAACUAUAACGGUCCUAAGGUAGCGAAAUUCCUUGUCGGGUAAGUUCCGACCUGCACGAAUGGCGUAAUGAUGGCCAGGCUGUCUCCACCCGAGACUCAGUGAAAUUGAACUCGCUGUGAAGAUGCAGUGUACCCGCGGCAAGACGGAAAGACCCCGUGAACCUUUACUAUAGCUUGACACUGAACACUGGUCCUUGAUGUGUAGGAUAGGUGGGAGGCUUUGAAGUGUGGACGCCAGUCUGCAUGGAGCCGUCCUUGAAAUACCACCCUUUAAUGGCUGGUGUUCUAACGUUGGCCCCUUACCGGGGUUGCGGACAGUGUCUGGUGGGUAGUUUGACUGGGGCGGUCUCCUCCUAAAGAGUAACGGAGGAGCACGAAGGUUGGCUAAUCCUGGUCGGACAUCAGGAGGUUAGUGCAAUGGCAUAAGCCAGCUUGACUGCGAGCGUGACGGCGCGAGCAGGUGCGAAAGCAGGUCAUAGUGAUCCGGUGGUUCUGAAUGGAAGGGCCAUCGCUCAACGGAUAAAAGGUACUCCGGGGAUAACAGGCUGAUACCGCCCAAGAGUUCAUAUCGACGGCGGUGUUUGGCACCUCGAUGUCGGCUCAUCACAUCCUGGGGCUGAAGUAGGUCCCAAGGGUAUGGCUGUUCGCCAUUUAAAGUGGUACGCGAGCUGGGUUUAGAACGUCGUGAGACAGUUCGGUCCCUAUCUGCCGUGGGCGCUGGAGAACUGAGGGGGGCUGCUCCUAGUACGAGAGGACCGGAGUGGACGCAUCACUGGUGUUCGGGUUGUCAUGCCAAUGGCACUGCCCGGUAGCUAAAUGCGGAAGAGAUAAGUGCUGAAA
rnacentral:rRNA from 1 species